UACAAGGCCUCUCUUAAAACUCUACAUCCAGCAAACUGUGGUACCUCCAUACAAUGGAAUAUUCAGUGAUAAAAGCUGCAGAAUGGACAUCUCAUCCACAGCAGACCAAUCAGCGCUCUUUCCAGUGACAUUCAGAAGAGAAUUAAAGGGAAAAAGACCCUUUCCCUUUUGGUGAGAAACUGAGAAGGUGACUCCUGGAGCUGCGGGCAGCUGUGGUUCCAGCCUUAGCGGAAGAUGUUUAUCUAAAGGAAUGAAGAUGACCUGCAGAGAAAAUUAAAGACACGAACUUAGUCACCAGGUGAAGAAACCCAGGCUAGCCUGCUGGAGACAAGAAGCACCAUUUGCCAGACAUGAGAGGAAGACCACCAGAGAUCAUCUGGCCCACAUCAAGUUAUGCCACAUGAGGGACCCCGGAGAUCAGCAGAAGAACCAUCAGCCUGAACGCAGCCCCAAAUGAUGGUUCACAGUUAUGAGCAAAUGAAAUGGUG
rnacentral:lncRNA from 1 species